GUGCUCGCUAUGGCAGUACAUAUACUAAAAUUGGAAUGAUACAGAGAAUAUUAGCUUGGCUUUUGUGCAAGGAUGACACGCAAAUUCGUGAAGUGUUCCAUAAAAAU